UACGGAGGAUGCAGGCGUUAUCCGGAUUUAUUAGGUUUAAAGGGUGUGUAGGCGGGAUGAUAAGUCAGUGGUGAAAUCCAACAGCUCAACUGUUGAACUGCCAUUGAUACUGUUGUUCUUGAAUAUAGUUGAGGUAGGCGGAAUGUGUAAUGUAGCGGUGAAAUGCUUAGAUAUUACACAGAACACCGAUUGCGAAGGCAGCUUACUAAGCUAUUAUUGACGCUGAUGCACGAAAGCGUGGGGAGCGAACAGG
rnacentral:rRNA from 1 species